GCUCAGGUCCCCUUCCACGCUGUGGAAGCUUUGUUCUUUUGCUCUUCACAAUAAAUCUUGCUGCUGCUCACUCUUUGGGUCCAUGCCACCUUUAAGAGCUGUAACACUCCCCGCAAAGGUCCACAGCUUCAUUCUUGAAGUCAGCAAGACCAAGAACCCACCAGAAGGAACCAACUCUGGACACAUCUUGGCAACCACAAAGGGACCAUCGCCAAGCAGAUCCAGGCCAUCAAGCUACAGAUGGUCUUACAAAUGGAACCCCAAAUGAGCUCAACCAACAACUUCUACCGAGGACCCCUGGACCGACCCACUGGCCUUUUGACUGGCCUAAAGAGCUUCCCUCUGGAGGACACUACAACUGCAGGGUCCUUUCUUCACCCCAUCCAGCAGGAAGUAGCUAGAGCAGUCAUCGCCCAAUUCCCAAUAGGAGUUGGGUUGUCCUGUUUAGAGAGGGGACUGAGAGGUGAAGCCAGCUGGAUUUCCUGGGUCAAGUGGGGACUUGGAGAACUUUUGUGUCUAGCUAAAGGAUUGUAAAUGCACCAAGCAGCACUCUGUAAAAACGCACCAAUCAGCGCUCUAUGUAUAGCUAAAGGAUUGUAAAUGCACCAAUCAGCACUCUGUAAAAACACACCAAUCAGCACUCUGUCUACCAAAAGGAUUGUGAAUGCACCAAUCAGCACUCUGUAAAAACGCACCAAUCAGCACUCUGGGUCCAGCUGAAGGACUGUAAAUGCACCAAUCAGCACUCUUUAAAAAUGCACCAAUCAGCACUCUGUAAAAACGCACCAAUCAGCACUGAGUCUAGCUAAAGGACUGUAAAUGCACCAAUCGGCACUCUGUAAAAACAUACCAAUCAGCGCUCUGUGUCUAGCUAAAGGUUUGUAAACACACCAAUCAGCACUCUGUAAAACGGACCAAUCAGCACUCUGUAAAAUGGACCAAUCAGCACUCUGUAACAUGGACCAAACAGAAGGACAUAGGCGGGGACAAAUAAGAGAAUAAAAGCUGGCCAACCCAGCCAGCAGCAGCAACCCGCUCAGGUCCCCUUCCAUGCUGUGGAAGCUUUGUUCUUUCAUUCUUCACAAUAAAUCUUGCUGCUGCUCACUCUUUCGGUCCGUGCCACCUUUAAGAGCUGUUAACACUCACCACGAAGGUCUGCAGCUUCAUUCUUGAAGUCAGCGAGACCAAGAACCCACCAGAAGAAACCAACUCCAGACACACAAGGACUGUCAGAAUCAUUUGAUCUGGGGUUACUCAAGGAUCUGACCAUUUAUAGGCUUUCCAGUUAAAGGGGUGCUAGGGUCCCCUUGACAAUCUGGAGCAUGUUCAAUUUGUUUUUUAAUAACAUUUUUAAUUAAUAAAUUUUUGAUUUUAGGCAGACAGAUAAGCAUAUAUUAGUUUUGUAUUUUAGACAAUAGGAAAUGUAUAUAUGACUCAAUUCCAGUACUAGAAUAGGUAGCUGAAAAUUCUAGAAGAUUCCACAUUGGUUCAAUAAUUUUCCUUACUUGAAAUUCUUCUCUUUGCUUCCACUGACAUACAGCCAAACUGAUUAUUUUGGCUUGACUUUAUAUUUUAUUUAAAUGGGUUAUUUCUGUCAUUUCUGCUAUCAUUCUGUGUUUAAAUUUAAAGGCUCAGUACUAUGGAGACACAUUGUAGGAACAUCUAUGAGGUGCUGC
rnacentral:lncRNA from 1 species